GGGGGAUUAGCUCAAAUGGAGCGCCCGCUUAGCAUGCGGGAGGUACCGGGAUCGAUACCGGAUUCUCCA